AGAGUUUGAUCCUGGCUCAGGAUGAACGCUAGCGGCAGGCUUAAUACAUGCAAGUCGAGGGGCAGCGCAGUGUAGCAAUACAUGGGCGGCGACCGGCAAACGGGUGCGGAACACGUACGCAACCUUCCUUCAAGCGGGGAAUAGCCCAGGGAAACUUGGAUUAAUACCCCAUAAGACAAUUGGUUCGCAUGAAUUGAUUGUUAAAGAAUUUCACUUGAAGAUGGGCGUGCGUCUGAUUAGGUAGUUGGCGGGGUAACGGCCCACCAAGCCUACGAUCAGUAACUGGUGUGAGAGCACGACCAGUCACACGGGCACUGAGACACGGGCCCGACUCCUACGGGAGGCAGCAGUAAGGAAUAUUGGGCAAUGGACGCAAGUCUGACCCAGCCAUGCCGCGUGGAGGAUGAAGGUCCUCUGGAUUGUAAACUUCUUUUAUCUGGGAAGAAAAAAGGGAAUUCUUUCCCGUCUGACGGUACCAGAUGAAUAAGCACCGGCUAACUCCGUGCCAGCAGCCGCGGUAAUACGGAGGGUGCAAGCGUUAUCCGGAUUUACUGGGUUUAAAGGGUGCGUAGGUGGACUGGUAAGUCCGUGGUGAAAUCCCCGAGCUUAACUUGGGAACUGCCAUGGAUACUAUUGGUCUUGAAUUUUCUGGAGGUUAGCGGAAUAUGUCAUGUAGCGGUGAAAUGCUUAGAUAUGACAUAGAACACCGAUUGCGAAGGCAGCUGGCUACAGAAACAUUGACACUGAGGCACGAAAGCGUGGGGAUCAAACAGGAUUAGAUACCCUGGUAGUCG
rnacentral:rRNA from 1 species